GAGUUUGAUCCUGGCUCAGGACGAACGCUGGCGGCGUGCUUAACACAUGCAAGUCGAACGAAAAGAGGGAAAGAGCUUGCUCUUUCCGGAAUUGAGUGGCAAACGGGUGAGUAACACGUAAACAACCUGCCUUCAGGAUGGGGACAACAGACGGAAACGACUGCUAAUACCGAAUAAGUUCCAAGAGCCGCAUGGCCCAUGGAAGAAAAGGUGGCCUCUACCUGUAAGCUAUCGCCUGAAGAGGGGUUUGCGUCUGAUUAGCUGGUUGGAGGGGUAACGGCCCACCAAGGCGACGAUCAGUAGCCGGACUGAGAGGUUGAACGGCCACAUUGGGACUGAGAUACGGCCCAGACUCCUACGGGAGGCAGCAGUGGGGAAUAUUGGGCAAUGGGCGCAAGCCUGACCCAGCAACGCCGCGUGAAGGAAGAAGGCUUUCGGGUUGUAAACUUCUUUUAAGAGGGAAGAGCAGAAGACGGUACCUCUAGAAUAAGCCACGGCUAACUACGUGCCAGCCGCCGCGGUAAUAC
rnacentral:rRNA from 1 species